rnacentral:rRNA from 1 species
GUACACGCUGUGACUAGCAUAUCAAUAAGCGGAGGAAAAGAAACUAACAAGGAUUCCCCUAGUAACGGCGAGUGAAGCGGGAAGAGCUCAAAUUUGAAAUCUUAAAGGGUUUCCCUUUACGAAUUGUAGUUUAAAGAAGUGUUUUCUGUUGAGGUUUUGGUAAAAGUUCUUUGGAAUAGGACAUCAUAGAGGGUGAGAAUCCCGUAUUUGACCUUUACUUUCAACUUUGUGAUACACUUUCAAAGAGUCGGAUUGUUUGGGAAUGCAGUCCAAAAUGGGUGGUAAAUUUCAUCUAAAGCUAAAUAUUGGCGAGAGACCGAUAGCGAACAAGUACCGUGAGGGAAAGAUGAAAAGAACUUUGAAAAGAGAGUUAAACAGUACGUGAAAUUGUCAAAAGGGAAGCGUUUGACACCAGUGUUGUUUUUCUGAAAAUCAAUUAAAGAACUGUUUAUGCUAAGCUGUUUAGACUUUAUCAGCUAAUCUGUUUAGUUUUGAGCUUUUCUUUAAUGCACUUUUCAGUUAACAAGUCAACAUCAAUUUCUUUUGCUGUAAAAAAGCUUGAGGAAGGUGGCUUGAGAUUCGUCUUAAGUGUUUAUAGCCUCUUGCCUAUGCAGUCGGAGAGAUUGAGGUCUGCAGCGUAGAUCCUUCGGGGCUAAAUGCAUUUGUGCUAAGUUAUAGCAUUUUAUAGACAACUUGUUGACUAUGAUUUGUCUUGUAGCUUACUCGCUUAUGUUAUUUUACCUACGCUUAGGAUGUUGACGAGACUGUCGAUCUC